GGAGGAAGAAUAUGAAGAAAACUAAUAUUAUUACAAACUUAGCAAUUUAAAAAGAAAUAAUUGGACUUGAGCAAAUCACAAGGGGAAAAAAAUGAGAAAGAAGACAGAUUUCUUGUUCAAGGAAGACAUCUGUUUGAAGUAUGUAAAACCAUCUUCAACAUGGCAUUAGCUCUUGAUGCUCCCAAAGAACCUAGAAAGUGGCACAGGACCAUCCGCCUCUUCAUCGUUACUGUUGGAGUGCUUGGAUCUUGACCUAUGCCUCUUUUCC
rnacentral:misc_RNA from 1 species